CAGUCGCCACGGGAAUACGAAGGGUGCAAGCGUUACUCGGAAUUACUGGGCGUAAAGCGUGCGUAGGCGGUUCGUUAAGACAGAUGUGAAAUCCCCGGGCUUAACCUGGGAACUGCAUUUGUGACUGGCGAGCUAGAGUACGGCAGAGGGGGGUGGAAUUCCGCGUGUAGCAGUGAAAUGCGUAGAUAUGCGGAGGAACACCGAUGGCGAAGGCAGCCCCCUGGGCCAAUACUGACGCUCAUGCACGAAAGCGUGGGGAGCAAACAGGAUUAGAUACCCCAGUAGUCCCUGUCUCUUAUAC
rnacentral:rRNA from 1 species